GGAAGGUUAGCUUAGAAGCAGCUAUCCUUUAAAGAGUGCGUAACAGCUCACCAGUCGAGGUUUGGGGCCCCGAAAAUUGACGGGGCUCAAGUCGACCACCGAUACCACGGAGUACCGCAAGGUAAUCUCGUAGGAAGGCGUUGCGUUCGGACUGAAGCAGGGCUGUGAAGUCCUGUGGACCGUUCGCAAACGAAAAUCCUGGUAAUAGUAGCAGCAUAGCAGGGUGAGAAUCCCUGCCGCCGAAGGGGCCAGGUUUCCUCGGCAAUGUUCGUCAGCCGAGGGUUAGUCGGUCCUAAGACGUACCGUAAUUCGAGUACGCCAAAAGGGAAACAGGUUAAUAUUCCUGUACCAUUUAGCAAUCAGUCUGACGUCUCAGGGCAGGCCGAGCGGCGUCGUCGCGCCGUCUAAGCAGCGAAACCUGUGGAGAGCCGUAAUGGCGAGAAGCGGGCGAAUCUGUUAUGGCUAAAGUCGGCUGCACCCCGGGACCCGUGAAAAGGCGCUAAAUGUCCGUACCUAGAACUGACACAGGUGCCCCUAGCUGAAAAGGCUAAGGCGUGUCGGAGUAAUUCAGUUAAGGGAAUUCGGCAAAUUAGCUCCGUAACUUCGGGAGAAGGAGUGCCUGCUGUGUAGACAGCAGGUCGCAGUGACCAGGGGGCUCCAACUGUCUAAUACCAACAUAGGAGAUUGCAAACCCGUAAGGGCUAGUACAAUCUCUGAAUCCUGCUCAGUGCAGGUACCUGAAACCCCGGUUCAACGGGAAGAAGGGCCUGUAAACAGCGGGGGUAACUAUGACCCUCUUAAGGUAGCGUAGUACCUUGUCGCUUAAUUGGCGACUUGCAUGAAUGGAUUAAUGAGAGUCCUACUGUCCCUAACUGGAGUCCGGUGAAGCUUACAUUCUAGUGCACAGUCUAGAGACCUCUAGGGGGAAGUGAAGACCCCGUGGAGCUUUACUGCAGCCUGUCGUUGGGUUGUGGUUCUGGAUGUACAGAGUAGGUAGGAGGCAUCGAAGCGGUUGCGCCAGCAUCCGUGGAGCCGAAAUUGGGACACUACCCUUCUGGGACCGCGACCCUAACUCUGAGAAGAGGACCCCGAUAGGUGGGCAGUUUGCCUGGGGCGGGACGCCCUUGAAAAGAUAUCAAGGGCGCGCAAUGGUUGACUCAAGCGGGUCGGAAACUCGCUGAAGAGUGUAAGAGCAUAAGUCAGCCUGACGUUAUUCAGCACAGCAGUGGAUGACGAGACGAAAGUCGGCUCUAGCGAACUUUUGAGCCUCCUUGGUGGGGGCCAAAAAUGACAGAAAAGUUACCCCGGGGAUAAUUGAGUCGUUGCCGGCAAGAGUACAUAUCGACCCGGCAGCUUGCUACCUCGAUGUCGGUUCUUUCCAUCCUGGCCGUGCAGCAGCGGCCAAGGGUGAGGUUGUUCGCCUAUUAAAGGAGAUCGUGAGCUGGGUUUAGACCGUCGUGAGACAGGUCGGUUACUAUCUACUAGAGGUGCCAGAGGUCUGAAGGUAAGCUGCUUUUAGUACGAGAGGAACCAAGCAGCGGCGCCACUGGUGUACCGGUUGUUCGACAGAGCAUCGCCGGGCAGCUACGCGCCAAGGAAUAAGAGCUGAAUGCAUCUAAGCUCGAAAUCUAACCUAAAAAGAGACUUCUUUAAGGAUUCCGGUAAAAGACCGGUUUGAUAGAAAUGGGAUGUAAGCACCAAGGCAACGAGGUGUUCAGUCCGCGUUCACUAACCAUCCGUUCCUUUCUUA
rnacentral:rRNA from 1 species